rnacentral:lncRNA from 1 species
GUUUUCUGCACCUCUUGAUAGUUUUAUUAGGCCCUAAGCCAAUUGCUCGCUAGAACAUGUAUUUAAAAAAAAGGACAUCCAGCAUGGAUUGACCAGCAUAAGGUCUGGCCCUACCAUCCGGAGAGUAACUGAAAACUACUUCUAAGGAGCCGCCAAUGUCUUAGACCCUUGAUAUGUACAUUCUUUGUCCUUGAUGUAAUCAACUCCGCGUGCUUUCGCAGAUCCACGAGCAAAACUAAAAUUUCAACAAAAUACAAUCUCAGAUUUGUAAAAGAAGUUGUCGAUUGAGAUGAAAAUCAAGAUUAGUACAAUAUUGAAAAAGUUAUGCUUUUACUCCAUGGUUGAUCUUAGCAAUGGGAGUUAUAUAUAAUCAACCAACGAGUUCAAAUAUAUUGCAAGUCAUACAAAAGAAUCAAUUUAUACAAAACAGAUUUACUAACAAUGUUAACUACAGAUAUAAUCUUACUCUUGUGAGAAAAUUUUAGAUUAAUCAUCGAGUGAAUCUUAUGUCAAAUUAGACUAGUGAUGCAUUUCUAAAAGUUCCAACACUAUCUUUUGAGAAAUCAGCGUCCCGAACUACCGACUUUUUAGAAGUGGCACCAAAGUAAUGUGCUACCACUUUUUUUUAAACCCUUACCCACACUACUUCGAAAAGAACUUCGCAUUAACACGAAUGCGGGAGACCAACUCUCUACAAGGGUACCCAAAUCUUUUAUUCACCUAAUCACAACUUGAUACAACACUCACUCUUAAACUCUUUAUGUGCCUACCCUACCAAGACAUCAUUACACUACAUGGCAACCUUGUCAUCUCUUCACCUAUGGCUCACAUGCCACUCUAGCCAUGGUAU